CCCAGAGAAAACUUAUCUUUAACAAAUCUAAAGAAGACUAGGAGAGCCUAGAGAAAGCCAGUAAACCUCAAAACUGAAAGGAAUCAAAACCCAAACGCAGCACUCAGCAGCAGUGGAAAAAAAAAAAAAAAAGAUGAGAUCGGAGGAAGCUUGGUCUAGGGCCGGCCCUGACAGUGGGAGUGGAGAGAGAAUGAGAGAGGCGGAGAGCAUGAGUUGAGAGAAAAAAGCAGAGCAAGAAUGAGAAAAAGAAAGGCUGAAGCAAGGCAUGGAGAGAUACUGGGUCAGCUUCUUUAUGCUGCCAAAAUUGUAGCCGAGAAAGAAGGUAUUCUUGAUGGUUUUUGUGUUGUCAUAAACAAUGGCUCGGAUGCCUGUAAGUUAUCACCUCCAUUCUCUGUAAUGUCUCUAGAUCUCCUUUAAGAUGUUCCGCAAUGCAAUAUUUCCUUACUCGAAUAUCUUGGUUUAGACCCAGCAUAGAAUCAUUUGGUAUAGACCAUUGUUAAAGUGAGUCAAGUUUUGCCAAUUCUAAUUGAUAAACCAAUGCUGACUUCUUGAGUCUUUUUAUCAUUAUUUAUAAAUACAGAAUGUCAAUGACUGUGGGACUGUAUUAUUAUGGUCUUCGAGACACCAAUGCUACAUAUGCGAUGAGCUUCUUUAACUUGAUUCCAAUGGUUACCUUUGUCUUCUCCACAAUCGUAGGAGAAACUAGGACUGACUACAAAGGAAGGCAAGAUGAAGAUUCUGGGGGCAAUUUUUUCUGUGGCAGGAGCACUAAUUGCUUGUCUUUAUAAAGGAAAAGCUUUCCAUAUUGGUCAUCAAGGUCUUCACCAUAAUGUUGCUCUGAAAACAUCUAUAGCUCAUUGGGUCCGUGGCACUUUCAUGUUGGUUGGCUUUUGCCUCUCCUAUAGUGUGUGGUAUAUAGUUCAAGCUAAGUUUGCUCAAAAUUUUCCCAUCAGAAUACUGGGCAAUAAUGUUAGCAUGCAUCAUAUCAUCAAUGCAAUCAGCUGUAAUAGGCCUAUGCUUAAAUAGACAGAAGGCGACAUGGAGCUUAGGGUGGAAUUUGCAACUACGUACAAUAGUUUACUCAGGAGCACUAGCCACGGCUGGAACAUUCUGCUUAGUUACAUGGGCAAUUGCAAUUCGGGCCCCAUUUAUGGCCCAAUGUUCUCUCCACUGUCACUAAUUUUUG